rnacentral:rRNA from 1 species
GAUGAACGCUGGCGGCGUGCCUAAUACAUGCAAGUCGAGCGAACAGACGAGGAGCUUGCUCCUCUGACGUUAGCGGCGGACGGGUGAGUAACACGUGGAUAACCUACCUAUAAGACUGGGAUAACUUCGGGAAACCGGAGCUAAUACCGGAUAAUAUAUUGAACCGCAUGGUUCAAUAGUGAAAGACGGUUUUGCUGUCACUUAUAGAUGGAUCCGCGCCGCAUUAGCUAGUUGGUAAGGUAACGGCUUACCAAGGCAACGAUGCGUAGCCGACCUGAGAGGGUGAUCGGCCACACUGGAACUGAGACACGGUCCAGACUCCUACGGGAGGCAGCAGUAGGGAAUCUUCCGCAAUGGGCGAAAGCUUGACGGAGCAACGCCGCGUGAGUGAUGAAGGUCUUCGGAUCGUAAAACUCUGUUAUUAGGGAAGAACAAAUGUGUAAGUAACUAUGCACGUCUUGACGGUACCUAAGCAGAAAACCACGGCUAACUACGU